AAAAAUAAAUACGUACAUACAUUAUUUCAAUACAGCUUAACAUGGAUAAAGGGUUAAUACGCAACAGAUAUGCUGUGAAUAGCGAUUUUAACACCAAUCCGUCGAUGAACGUCUUGGGCGUAUUGAGAAAGCAUUGGAGAGAAUUGAAAACAGACAAAUAAAAAUUGAAGGAUACUUCGCGAAUUGAAAAAACUUUGGAGGGAAUUAACAAUAGGCAAAUGAAAAUUGAAGAAACCUUACAGGAUACCUUGCCCAAAAUUCGCUCAGCUGUAGACCAAUUGAUAAAGAAAAAUGUUCCAAUUACCACCAAAAAGAUAUUUCCAAUAUUGACUUUGGGUGAUCUGGAGGAAGCAAACAAGGAAGUUGGCAAUGAAAUCGAGAAAUACGUAAGUUCAUUAUUAUAUUUCCUAAUAAA